AUUGAACGCUGGCGGAAUGCUUUACACAUGCAAGUCGAACGGCAGCACGGGUGCUUGCACCUGGUGGCGAGUGGCGAACGGGUGAGUAAUAUAUCGGAACGUAUCCAAUAAUGGGGGAUAACUAAUCGAAAGGUUGGCUAAUACCGCAUACGCCCUACGGGGGAAAGCUAGGGACCUUCGGGCCUGGCGUUAAUGGAGCGGCCGAUAACUGAUUAGCUAGUUGGUGGGGUAAUGGCCUACCAAGGCGACGAUCAGUAGCUGGUCUGAGAGGACGACCAGCCACACUGGAAGUGAGACACGGUCCAGACGCCGACGGGAGGCAGCAGUGGGGAAUUUUGGACAAUGGGCGCAAGCCUGAUCCAGCCAUUCCGCGUGAGUGAAGAAGGCCUUCGGGUUGUAAAGCUCUUUCGCAAGGGAAGAAAACUUAUCCUCUAACAUAGGAUGAGGUUGACGGUACCUUGAUAAGAAGCACCGGCUAACUACGUGCCAGCCGCCGCCGUAAUAC
rnacentral:rRNA from 1 species